GAAUUUUUGAUUAGCGCCUGCUUAAGACGCGGGCCUUUAUGGAAG
rfam:Lonsdalea quercina strain ATCC 29281 genome assembly, contig: Ga0052894_scaffold00003.3